rnacentral:rRNA from 1 species
UGAGGAACAUGACCUUCGGCGGGGGAUAGCCCGGCCCAACGGCCGGGUAAUACCGCGUACGACCACAUGGGGACAUCCCUGAGUGGUGAAAGCAGCAAUGCGCCGAUGGAGUGCCUCGCGGCCUAUCAGCUAGUUGGUGAGGUAACGGCUCACCAAGGCGACGACGGGUAGCUGGUCUGAGAGGAUGGCCAGCCANAUUGGGACUGAGACACGGCCCAGACCUGUAACGGGA